UUUUUUUUUUUUUUUUUUGUCUUUUUCUUUGCUAUUUCUUGGGCUGCUCCUGCGGCAUAUGGAGAUUCCCAGGCUAGGGGUCGAAUCGGAGCUGUAGCAACCAGCCUACGCCAGAGCCACAGCAACGCAGGAUCCGAGCCGCGUCUGCAACCUACACCACAGCUCAACGCCAGAUCGUUAACCCACUGAGCAAGGGCAGGGACCCAACCCGCAACCUCAUGGUUCCUAGUCGGAUUCAUCAACCACUGCACCACAACGGGAACUCCUCCAUUCAUCUUUUGAUGGACGCUUAGGCUGCUUCACUUCUUGGCAACUGCAAAUAAUGCUGCUAUGAACAUUGGGGUGGAUGCAUCUUUCUGAAUUAGUGUCUAAAAUUUUUUCCCCUUUUUUUUUUUUUUUUGGUCUUUUUAGGGCUGCAUCUGCGGCAUAUGGAGACAAUCAAUCAAUCAAUGUAGAUCUAAAUAAGGUAUUGAUAUAGGAAAAAAAAUUAAGAUAUAAACAAAUCAAAAAAGGUAGGUUGUAAAAAAUGUAUAAAGAUAUGCUUCCAUUUGUGUUAAUUAGUAGAAUAUGUUUAUAUUUAUAAGUAAACCUUUUCACAAGAGAAUACACCUAAAUGCUGUCUGAAGUCUCUAUAAAGUAGAAGCUUUCUAGAUUACAAAGUUAUACAUGGUUACAUGCUUUUAUAAUGUGUUUCUUUGGUGACAACAAAUACAAAGAAACUUGGUAAUUAAAAAAAAGAGAGAGAAUUCCCUGUGGUACAUCGGGUUAAGGAUCUGGCAUUGUCACUGUAGCAACUCUGGUUGCUGAUGCGGCACAGGUUGGAUCCCUGGGCCUGGGAACUUCCACGUGCCAGAGUGCGGCCAAAAAAAACCAGAAGACUUCUAAAUGUUUUUAAUUUAAAAAAAAAUACCCGCUGUAUAGUACAGGGAACUAUAUCUAGUCACUUAUGAUGAAGCAUGACGGAGGAUAAUGUGAGAAAAAGAAUGUAUAUAGAUACAUGACUGGGUCACUUUGCUAUGCAGCAGAAAUUGACAGAACGUUGUAAAUCAACUAUAAUAGAAAAAAUAAGAAUCUUCAAAAAAACAGAAAUGCAGACAACAGCCUAUGAAUAAAGUAAGAAGUAGUCCCGUCUGAUGAAUGAGGAUCCCAUGGCACAAGAAAUCAGGGGAGGAACAAAGCUGAAAUUCAAAGGAAAAUCCUUUCAGCCCUGGGGUGCAGAGGCCACCCCAACCAGGGCAUGCCGUCCCUUCCACAAGAAUCAGCCUCUCUCUGGCCGGGCUCCCAAGAUGUGACCUGGGUCGUCCCACAUCUAUCACGUUCCCCUCCAUCAGAACCCCCUGGUCACUCCUGGGCAGUUCCAGGCAGAGGUGACAAUAGGAGAGGUAUGAUGAUACUUCCCAGGUCUUGCUCAUGAUGCAAGACCUCAUUGGUUCCAGCUGAGAGCCUUCAGUCACACCCGGGCAGGGGGACGGACAGGCUGGGUCCAGGUCUUCUGAUUACCCAGCUCUGGAGAGCCAGGGCGUGCACCUCACCUCUCUCUGUGCAUCUGCAGUGUUACAGGCAACCUUAACCCUGAGGGCUGCUGCUCCCCAGAGAACACCUCCACCUGCCAUAAUGCACACAUGGCCCCACAUACAUGAUACGGGGCCAGGCGAAGACACUGCUCUGUGUUGGGGACGGGGGCAAGACCAGGACCCCAGAGUCAGUGAAGAACUUGCCUGGGGACCGCAAUGAAUUGAAGCAGUCAGAGAGCAAGGUUGGCUCUAUCCUGACUGGGGCAUGAAAGGGCACAGUUAGCGUCCAAAGAAAGACAGAGCCAUCAAAAUUAAGGAAGACUGGCGUUUCUGUCGUGGCUCAGCGGUAAUGAACCCGACUAGUAUGCAUGAGGGCGUGGGUUCGAUCCCUGGCUUCACUCAGUGGGUUAAGGAUCUAGCAUUGCCGUGAGCUGUGGUGUAAGUUGCAGAUGUGGCCCGGAUCCCCAGUUGCUGUGGCUGUGGUGUAGGCCGGCAGCUAUAGCUCUGAUUCGACUCCUAGCCUGGGAACCUCCAUAUGCCACAGGUGCAGCCCUAAAAAGACAAAAAAAAAAAAAAAAAUUAGAGAAGACUGGCUGGCACAGGUAAUAACCAAUAUUCAAACUAAUGGCUAGCAUUUAUUAAGCACCUGCGUUUAUCCCAUGCCUGGCAUUGUUCUAAGUAUCUUACAUCAACUCACUGAAUCUUCCCAAUAAUCCCAUGAUGUGGGUAAGUUAGUCACAGUUUACAGAUGAGGAAACUGAGGCAUGAAACCGCUACAUCACACAGCAGGCAGUGCAGCUAAGUGGAACCAAGGUAUUCUAGCUCUGGUGCCAGGCUAUACUGUCAGCUCAGAAAGUGAGUGCUGAGAAAGACAACUACCAUAUGGUAUCACUUACAUCUGGAAUCAAAUACACGGCACACAUGAACCUUUCCACGGAAAAGAAACUCAUGGACUUGGAGAACAGACUUGGGGUUGCCAAGGGGGAGGGGGAGGGAGUGGGAUGGAUGGGGAGCUUGGGGUUCAUGGAUGCAGACUCUUGCCUUUGGAAUGGAUGAGCCACGAGAGCCUGCUGGGCAGCACUGGGAACUAGGUCUAGUCACAUAUGAUGGAGCCUGAUAAUGGGAGAAAAACGAAUGCAUACAUGUCUGUGUGACUGGGUCCCCAGGCUGCACAGUAGGAAAAAAAAAAAAAUUGUAUUGGGAAAAUAACAAUAAAGGAAAUAAAAUAAAAUACAAAAGAACAUGCGUGCUGAUCACUGUCUGCUCCCUAAUGCUUUCACUCCAUCAUCUAUACCGACUCUCAUGAGGGGGGCUAAUAAGCUUACCCCCAACCCUUGGAGAAAAUGUCUAGCCAAGGACCUUGAUAUAAGACACCUCCCAGAGGUACUGAAAAGGCCAGGAAGUGCACAGGGGCUGCAGAGUUCACCGCCCCUUCUGAGGAAUUUCCCCAUGGAAGGGUCUUUCUGGCAAGAGCCCCGAGGCUACUGUCAUGUGCAUCUGAGCUCCCCUGGUUGCAAACCAUAGGAGAUUUUCUUGACACCUCCAUCUGUCCACCCACCCACUUCCC
rnacentral:lncRNA from 1 species